rnacentral:piRNA from 1 species
GCGUGUUGGAUCCCCUGGAACUGGA